rnacentral:rRNA from 1 species
GACAGAGGGUGCAAACGUUGUUCGGAAUUACUGGGCGUAAAGCGUGUGUAGGCGGUCCCCUAAGUCGGGUGUGAAAGCCCUGGGCUCAACCCAGGAAGUGCACUCGAAACUGGAGGGCUAGAGUAUCGGAGAGGUUGGUGGAAUUCUCGGUGUAGAGGUGAAAUUCGUAGAUAUCGAGAGGAACACCGGUGGCGAAGGCGGCCAACUGGACGAAUACUGACGCUGAGACACGAAAGCGUGGGGAGCAAACAGG